GUUAGGUAGGGGAUUCGCGUUUUCAAGUAGAGGAAAUGGUGAUUAUAUUAGUUCAUUUGGAGAAAAUUUAGAAAGUCUCUAAUAGAAUAGUUGCUGCAAUAUUACUUGUUAUGUGAGCAGCAACAUGUCUAUUAUUGACAAGAGGAACAACAUUUAUUAAGAGCAGCAACGCUAUGGAAUUUUGUUAUGGAUUUCGCUUAUCGCUUCAAUCUCGUUGUUCUGUUUUAUCGUGUUGCUGAUUCUGGGCUUUCUUCAAAGUGAAGUAAGGUGGAAGAAGAGUAUUUCUUUGCACAUAAGAUUUUGGGAAGCCCGAGACUUAAGUUUGGAUUAGCUUAAGAAGCGGAUAAGUCCCAUAUUGUUUUGCAGGUAAAAGUAUUCAGAUAGGAUGGUUGGCUAUCAGCUGGGAUUGGCAAACUCCAUUUUCUUCCUGGAGCAGUGCCGAGUCAUUAUGGUUAUCAUAUGUGUGUAUGGGUAUGUCGGGGCCCUGUCCCGACUUAUAUGAUUCAGGUGUUUACUCUUAGAGACUUUGCAGACAGUGUCCUGUGGUUAGUAUGUUAAGAUGUCAUGUGUUGAGUAAAACGACUAUGUAGGCCGAUAUGUCAAUUUGACUUACUCGUUUUUUGAUUAAUUGAGUAUCGU